UUAAGCGCUGUUCUGCACCGAAGUUUUAAUCCUAACACCUGCAUCGCUCCUCCUCAGGGGUCCCACCCGUCGGUCUCCCCAUACGUCUCCCGCCAUGGCCACUACCACCACCUCGACGCCGUCGACCCCCGCCGCCGCCGCCGGGAACCACCCGCGCCACCUCCUCCGAGGCUUCCUCUCUCCCGAAACCUGCAAGGAGCUGGAGUUCGUGCAUCGGAGUUGCGGUGCCGCGGGGUACCGCCCGUCGGUGCUGUCGACGUCGCUGCCGCACCUGGCGGCCACCGGCUGCGGCCACCUCCUUCUCCCCUUCGUGCCCGUCCGCGAGCGCCUCCGCGACGCCGUCGAGUCAUUCUUCUCCUGCCACUUCGAUCUCUUCAUCGAGUUCACCGGGCUCAUCAGUUGGUGCAAGGGAGCGUCUAUUGGAUGGCACAGUGAUGACAAUAAGCCUUAUCUUAGGCAGAGGGCAUUCACAGCAGUUUGCUACUUGAACGAUCAUGGAAAGGACUACGAGGGUGGAAUUUUGCAGUUUCAGGAUGGUGAACCUUCCUCUAUUGUUCCAGUUGCUGGUGAUGUCGUCAUCUACACCGCUGAUAGUUGUAAUGUCCAUUGUGUAGAUGAGGUGACUGAAGGCGAACGGCUAACUCUGACUCUUUGGUUCACCAGAGACAGUGCUUAUGAUGAGGAUCCAAAGCUCCUUACUUUUCUCUCUCAGACGUCAACGAGCUAUGAACCAUCUGAUCAAUACUCUUACAUUCCUUUGCCAGCCUCUGACAACAUGUAUUGGUUUUCCUACGAUCAGUCUGGUUUUGACAUACGAUGGGCUAGAGUGCAUGUUCUUGGAUUUAGUUUCCACACAAGUAGUAGUGAAGACAGUACAUGCGCGAUACCAGCUGAAGAUGACCCAAUAGAAUUGCUUGGGAAGCAACUGCGGCUCAGGAAGGGAGAUUAUGUCUUUGAGAAAAUAUUCGCUAACAGUUUGCAUGCUCUUCAGGUGGUGCAAUUCUACUACUGGAAAGCACCUGAGCUGGCAUCAAGGAGGGGACAAACUAAUGGUGGUUCAGAAACUGUCUGCCAUUUCGUUAUACACCAUUCAAGAGGAACAGAACUACCAAUACCAUGCAACCAUGCUCUUGCACAAACCAUAUUCAGAUCAUACAACGAUGCAGAAUUUGCCUUUGAAUGGAAUGAUUUUGCAUUAGCAGUUGCUAUGUGGGAAAAUUAUUCAGAAGAAUUGAAGAGAAAGUUGUCAGCAUUUUUGCCAUACUGGCUCUCCAAUGAAACAAUUUAUGCUGUUGAUUCCUCUGAGCUCCAGUUCUUUCAUCCAAAUAUGAAACUGCAGCUAGCAUAGAUGAUGGCCCAAAUUUACCGGAGUGCCUGUUAGAAGAAUAUCUCAAAUGGGCUGAAGCAUUGGCAGGCUAUUGGUUGAUUGUUUUUGGAAAUAAUAGUUAAGUACCAGUCAAAAAAGAUAUCAUUCAUCUCUCUCACUGUCUCAUACAAACACAAGAAAGCACAUGGUCCUUUAUUUGUGGAAUCUGUAGAAAUAGUCUUACAGUCGAAUCCUGAGGCCAGUGUGUAGAGAUCACUACUUAGAUACUAGAGUUGCCUCUCUCUUUUUUCCCUAAAAAAUUAUAUAUUGCAUAAAUACUUUCCAGUGGCUGAUAUGUUGUGAAUCAGAAGGCAAAACCAAUGGUCCUUGCACAUUCACACUGAACAUCUCAACCACUCUAUGUUUCUUUGGCAGAUGAAUCACAUGCCAUACUUAAAUACUAGCAUAUUUCCUUUCUAAACCACUUUUGCUGCUUACCACAAUGUCACAGUCAAAUUUUAUACAGAGAGCUCAACCAAUCUAAUUCUCCAGUGGUGGUUUGGAUCUGCCUCAUUCUUCGGUGACAUAGCUGGGGUGCUGGAGACUCCUCUCCAUGCUUUGGAACCGCCUCUGCUUCUGAAGUAUUGUAUUGGACUGGAACAACAGAAGCGUGUGCA